rnacentral:rRNA from 1 species
UACAGAGGGGGCGAGCGUUGUUCGGAAUUACUGGGCGUAAAGGGCGCGUAGGCGGAUAGUUUAGUCAGAGGUGAAAGCCCAGGGCUCAACCUUGGAACUGCCUUUGAUACUGGCUAUCUUGAGUUCGGGAGAGGUGAGUGGAAUGCCGAGUGUAGAGGUGAAAUUCGUAGAUAUUCGGCGGAACACCAGUGGCGAAGGCGACUCACUGGCCCGAUACUGACGCUGAGGCGCGAAAGCGUGGGGAGCAAACAGG